CGGCCCUCCGUAUCUGUGAGCUCUGCAUCUGCGGGAUUCAACCAACCGCGGAUCGUGUAUGUACUGUGGUUACCAUCUGCAGUUGGCUGAGCCCACGGGUGCAGAAUCCGCCAAUACAGAGGACCUAGU